CAAAUUUUUUACUCACGCAAUUUAUUUAAAUCUAACGCAAGAAAUAUUUGCUGUGUUGUUUGAAAAAUUCUUUGAUGGUGUUAGCGUGAUUGGAUCUUCCCACAUAUUACUCGUUUUGUAAGUUCACUGGAAGGAAAUGAGCUUUCCCGAGUAACGGAAACGGAUCGCAGUAUUUAAAGGAAGACAGCCGGUUCGUAAUCUGUUGAAAUUUGUGAAAAAAUAUAAAUUUGAUUUAUACAAAUAUGGGCGUGCAAAAUUGCUGGUGCCUGUUCAAAAAAUCAAAAAUAAUAGAAGUGUAUUUGGCAUCGGAGAAAGUCAAUAGAAAGAAGAUUUAAAGAUGAGAGCAGAAAGAGAAUACAUGUUGAAUGCCGUUGCACGUGAAGUGGGAUGUAUCUAAAAAGGAAGCAUUCCAUGGCAGUAGAAUCCAAUAGUGAGUUCCGACAAAUAAGCUGUUGCUUGGUGAGAAAAGGACGAGUACAAAAUUUUAGAUAGAUAACUCAAACAGUGAUGGACUAGUUGGCGUAUAUACAGGCUGAUGGAUAUGGCUAAAUCGACUCAGCUCGUCAUACACACUAUACACUUAAUAGAGUAUCCGAGGAUUCCUUCUGCGAGUUACAUACUUCGUGACAAACUAUAAAUACCCUGUUUAGAGCAUAAAAUCAGAGAAUUUAAAGGAAAGAAUCGCUUAACAAUUUAGCGCCAUCUGCUGGUGAAUAGCGGUGAGAUUGCAUUAGGAAACCUGCAACUGAAACUUUUCACACAAUCAGUUUGUGCGCCACUGUACUGAUGGUAAUUAGCGAUUACUCAAACCGGUGAGGUUGU